UUUUGACCUAAACGGCCUAAGGCCCUAAGCCGCUAAACGAAGACAUCGAUCCAUCCCCAAUUCACUAACGUCUGUUCUAAGCUCUCUUCUCUACUCUCCACUCUCCACUCUCCAGUUCUUCUUCUGUUCUUCAUCUAAAUCCCCGAUCCCCAAUUUCUUUCCAAUUUCCCUUCAUACAGCAAGCAUGAUGAGCCUCAACCUUACUUUAUUGUGAGAAUUUGAUUUUCAGCUUAAGCUUGUUCAAGCAUCAUCCAAGACUCUAACUCUCUUAGUCAAUUAUUUGAUUCAAAUUGUUUGAUGGCUAGAGCGAAGAAGGAAGUUGCUCGGCCUCAUCCAACCGCUUCGGGGCUUGAAGACUGCACUUGUUUCCUGUCAUAAUCUGCAUUACUGCAAUUUGAAUUCAUAAUCUACAAUCUGCUAUUUGUAGUUUUGCACAUAUUGUAUUAUUUUCCAUCUUCACUAGUUCAUUUCUUCUUUUCAAGAAGUCUUCAAUUCAUUUUAGUAUUUUACAUUGUUUGA